rnacentral:rRNA from 1 species
GACGAACGCUGGCGGCGUGCUUAACACAUGCAAGUCGAACGGAAAGGCCCUGCUUGCAGGGUACUCGAGUGGCGAACGGGUGAGUAACACGUGGGUGAUCUGCCCUGCACUUCGGGAUAAGCCUGGUAAACUGGGUCUAAUACCGGAUAGGAGCCAUUUUUAGUGUGAUGGUUGGAAAGUUUUUUCGGUGUAGGAUGAGCUCGCGGCCUAUCAGCUUGUUGGUGGGGUAAUGGCCUACCAAGGCGGCUACGGGUAGCCGGCCUGAGAGGGUGGACGGCCACAUUGGGACUGAGAUACGGCCCAGACUCCUACGGGAGGCAGCAGUGGGGAAUAUUGCACAAUGGGCGCAAGCCUGAUGCAGCGACGCCGCGUGGGGGAUGACGGCCUUCGGGUUGUAAACUCCUUUCGCUAGGGACGAAGCUUUUUGUGACGGUACCUAGAUAAGAAGCACCGGCUAACUACGUG